rnacentral:snRNA from 1 species
GGAUGUGAGGGAGAUCCAACUACAACAUCUGUCACCCCACUGAUCGCCAGUGUUGAUUCACUUGAUCUGCCUAACGUACCUCUCUCAGCCUUCCACUGGCCUCCUUCUGGAAGCCACUUCUUUCUCUGAAUAGAGGAGGACUGGUCCUCAGUCAAGGGUCCAUGAGUAGACACAUUCCCCUGCUAGAACCUCCCAACGAACUCUCAAGGGAGCUGAGUCCUUAUGCCAUGUGUCUACUACAAGACAGUUCGCACAUACCACAUAGGCAGAUGGGGCGGGGAGGGGCAUCUUUCAUG